UCAGACAUGUGCUGAGUCAGAGGCCUACGAGUCUUUGAUUUGUGGAUCUUGGCUCCAAACCUUUAAAUGCGAGUCUAUGACCUGAAGUAACUUCAGAAGCCAGCAAGGGUAAGGAUUUACCUUCGGUUCAGGAUGGACCCUACAUUUAGCAAGAAUUGCUUCAGUUGACACCCCAGAGACACCUGAAGAAGAAAAGUCCCUGUGAAGACAAAGAAGGCACUGAUGGAGUGUUGGGUAAAGCCUUUUCCUUGCCAGCCGCUUUGGUUUUUCCCCCGCCAGCCUCUUGGGCUCUUCCACAGUUGCAGACCUCAAAUAAACACACAAGACACUGUAUUAAUUAUGAA